rnacentral:rRNA from 1 species
GGUUUCCGUAGGUGAACCUGCGGAAGGAUCAUUGUCGAAUCCUGCCUAGCAGACGACCGCGAACACGUUGUAAAUCGCGGGUUGCGGGCGGGCUUGGGAAACCCUGCCCGUCGGCAAUCUCGCCCCCCUAAACUCUCGGCGCGGAAUGCGCCAAGGACCACUGAAAAGGGAUUGCCCGCGUCGUUGCGGAUUCCGCGAGGCGCGCCGGGCAUCUUGUCGCUUAACAAAAACGACUCUCGGCAACGGAUAUCUAGGCUCUCGCAUCGAUGAAGAACGUAGCGAAAUGCGAUACUUGGUGUGAAUUGCAGAAUCCCGUGAACCAUCGAGUUUUUGAACGCAAGUUGCGCCCGAAGCCAUUAGGCUGAGGGCACGUCUGCCUGGGCGUCACGCAUCCAGUCGCCACCCCCCUCGAGUCUUCGGUGCGGGGUGACGGAAGUUGGCCUCCCGUGCCCUCGGGGCGCGGCCGGCCUAAAAUCGAGUCCUCGGCGCGAGGUGUCACGACAAGUGGUGGUUGAACUCGUCAACUCUUGUGCUGUCGCGACCACGCCCCGACGAGGACUCCCUCGACCCCGGAGCCCCCGACGCAGAGAUUGAGUCGGGAGCCCUCGACCGCGACCCCAGGUCAGGCGGGAUUACCCGC